rnacentral:rRNA from 1 species
GACGAACGCUGGCGGCGUGCUUCACACAUGCAAGUCGAACGAAGUGGCGAACGGGUGAGUAACGCGUACUUCCCCUGCCCUUCAGAGGGGGACAACAGUUGGCAACGACUGCUAAUACCGCAUACUGAAGGAGGGGAUUGCGUCUGAUUAGCUAGUUGGCGGGGUAACGGCCCACCAAGGCGAUGAUCAGUAGCCGGUCUGAGAGGAUGAACGGCAACAUUGGGACUGAGACACGGCCCAGACUCCUACGGGAGGCAGCAGUGGGGAAUCGUCCGCAAUGGACGAAAGUCUGACGGAGCAACGCCGCGUGAGUGAUGACGGCCUUCGGGUUGUAAAGCUCUGUUAAUCGGGACGCGGUACCGGAAUAGAAAGCCACGGCUAACUACGUGCCAGCAGCCGCGGUAAUUC